rnacentral:rRNA from 1 species
GAUGAACGCUGGCGGCGUGCCUAAUACAUGCAAGUCGAGCGAACAGAUUAUGAUCUUGCUCCUCUUACGUUAUCGGCGGACGUGUUAGUAACACGUGUAUAACCUACCUAUAUUACUUGUAUAACUUCGGGAAACCGUAGCUAAUACCGGAUAAUAUUUUUAACCUCAUUGUUCAUUAUUUAAAGACGUUUUUUCUUUCUCUUAUAGAUUUUUCCCCGCUGCAUUCUCUAGUUUGUAAGGUAACGGCUUACCAAGGCAACGAUGAGUAGCCGACAUGACAGGGUGAUAGGACAAACUGGAACUGAGACACGGUCAAGACUACUACGGGAGGCAGCAGUAGGGAAUAUUCCGAAAUGGGCGAAAGCAUGACGGAGCAAAGCCGCGUGAGUGAUGAAGGACUUCGGAUCGUAAAACUCUGUUAUUAGGGAAGAAAAAAUGUGUAAGUAAAUAUGCACGUAUUGACGGUAACUAAUCAGAAAGCAACGGCUAACUACGUG